CAAAAAUCAUAUUUUGGCUGGCUUGAAGAUUUUCUAAGAAGAUCCAAGUGAAAUCAAAGCCAAAGAAGUGGAUUAAGCUUAGUUCUGACCUUUUUUAUGGAUAACCACAUCAACACCUAAGACACUACUUGUUACACGGUGAAAUAUAUUUUGGACAGAAGGUAGAGAAAAAAUGAGUGAAUGACAAUGGAGAACUGAAGCAUGGUCAUGACCAUGAUUUGUACAUAUGAACAUAUCGACCUUUUGUGGGUUAUUUCAGUUUAUCAGUGUGUAUGUUUGUAAUAAAGUGUAAAGUUAUGUUUUGAAAACAAAUUGGGUUAUUUGAUACUUAUGUAUAAUAUGUUUGAGAAACACUUUAUGUUUAAUGUAAAUAAUGUGAAA